AGAGUUUGAUCAUGGCUCAGGACGAACGCUGGCGGCGUGCUUAACACAUGCAAGUCGAACGGAAAGGCCCUUCGGGGUACUCGAGUGGCGAACGGGUGAGUAACACGUGGGUGAUCUGCCCUGCACUUUGGGAUAAGCCUGGGAAACUGGGUCUAAUACCGAAUAGGACCAUGGGAUGCAUGUUCUGUGGUGGAAAGCUUUUGCGGUGUGGGAUGGGCCCGCGGCCUAUCAGCUUGUUGGUGGGGUGAUGGCCUACCAAGGCGACGACGGGUAGCCGGCCUGAGAGGGUGUCCGGCCACACUGGGACUGAGAUACGGGCCAAACUCCUACGGGAGGCAGCAGUGGGGAAUAUUGCACAAUGGGCGCAAGCCUGAUGCAGCGACGCCGCGUGGGGGAUGACGGCCUUCGGGUUGUAAACCCCUUUCAGUACCGACGAAGCGUAAGUGACGGUAGGUACAGAAGAAGCACCGGCCAACUACGUGCCAGCAGCCGCGGUAAUAC
rnacentral:rRNA from 1 species